rnacentral:rRNA from 1 species
CAAUAGCGUAUAUUAAAGUUGUUGCAGUUAGAACGCUCGUAGUCGGAUUUCGGGGCGGGCCGACCGGUCUGCCGAUGGGUACGCACUGGUCGGCGCGUCCUUCCUUCCGGAGACCGUUCCUACUCUUAACUGAGCGGGGGCGGGAGACGGAUCGUUUACUUUGAAAAAAUCAGAGUGUUUCAAGCAGGCAACUCGCUCUUGCAUGGAUUAGCAUGGGAUAAUGAAAUAGGACUUUGGUGCUAUUUUGUUGGUUUCGAACACCGAAGUAAUGAUUAAUAGGGACAGUCAGGGGCACUCGUAUUCCGCCGAGAGAGGUGAAAUUCUCAGACCAGCGGAAGACGAACCACUGCGAAAGCAUUUGCCAGGGAUGUUUUCACUG